AGCUCCAAUAGCGUAUAUUUAAGUUGUUGCAGUUAAAAAGCUCGUAGUUGGAUUUCGGAGAGGUGCUGCCGGUCCGCCAUUUCGGUGUGUACUGGCAGCGCCUUUCUUGCUGUCGGGGACGGGCUCCUGAGCUUCAUUGCUCGGGACUCGGAGUCGACGAGGUUACUUUGAGUAAAUUAGAGUGUUCAAAGCAGGCCUACGCUCUGAAUACAUUAGCAUGGAAUAACACGAUAGGACUCUGGCCUAUCUCGUUGGUCUGUGGGACCGGAGUAAUGAUUAAGAGGGACAGUCGGGGGCAUUCGUAUUUCAUUGUCAGAGGUGAAAUUCUUGGAUUUAUGAAAGACGAACUUCUGCGAAAGCAUUUGCCAAGGAUGUUUUCA
rnacentral:rRNA from 1 species